AACGCGAAGAACCUUACCUGGGUUAAAUCCACCGGAACCUUCCAGAGAUGGAGGGGUGCUCUUCGGAGAACCGGUGAGAAGGUGCUGCAUGGCUGUCGUCAGCUCGUGUCGUGAGAUGUUGGGUUAAGUCCCGCAACGAGCGCAACCCUCGUCGUUAGUUGCUAACGGUUCGGCCGAGCACUCUAACGAGACUGCCGACGUUAAGUCGGAGGAAGGUGGGGAUGACGUCAAGUCCUCAUGGCCCUUAUGCCCAGGGCUACACACGUGCUACAAUGGCCGGUACAAAGGGUUGCUAACUCGCAAGAGUACGCUAAUCCCAAAAAACCGGCCUCAGUUCGGAUUGAGGUCUGCAACUCGACCUCAUGAAGUCGGAAUCGCUAGUAAUCCCGGAUCAGCACGCCGGGGUGAAUACGUUCCCGGGCCUUGUACACACCGUAGUAC
rnacentral:rRNA from 1 species